rnacentral:rRNA from 1 species
AAUCUAGCCCCGUAACUUCGGAAGAAGGGGUCCUCUCAAAAGUUUAAAGCUAAUGAGAGGCGCAGUGAAUGGGUUCAAGCGACUGUUUAACAAAAACACAGCACUCUGCAAACUCGCAAGAGGACGUAUAGGGUGUGACACGUGACCAAUGCUGAAAGGUCAAGGCAAGAGGUUAGUCCGCAAGGACGAAGCUUCGACCCGAAGCCCCAGUGAAUGUCGGCCGUAACUAUAACGGUCCUAAGGUAGCGAAAUUCCUUGUCGGGUAAGUUCCGACCCGCACGAAUCGUGUAACGACUUGAACGCUGUCUCAACUAGGAUCUCGGUGAAAUUGUAAUCCAGGUGAAAAUGCCUGGUACCCGCAGCAGGACGGAAAGACCCUGUGAACCUUUACUGUACUCUGUUAUUGGGUUUCGGUCACGCGUGUGUAGCAUAGCUGGGAGGCGUUGAUCCCUUGGUGCAAGCCAAGGGGGAGCCGUCAGUGAAAUACCAGUCUCGUGUUAUUGGAAUUCUAACCUGAGCCCGUGAAACCGGGACGGGGACAGUGACAGACGGUCAGUUUGACUGGGGCGGUUUCCUCCCAAAUGGUAACGGAGGAGUGCGAAGAUUCCCUCAGCAUGGUUGGCAAUCAUGCGUAGAGCGUAUAGGUAUAAGGGAGUUUGACUGCGAGACCUACAAGUCGAGCAGGUGCGAAAGCAGGCCUAAAUGAUCCGGUGGUUGCUCGUGGUAGCGCCAUCGCUCAACGGAUAAAAGGUACUCUGGGGAUAACAGGCUGAUCGCCGCCAAGAGUCCACAUCGACGCGGCGGUUUGGCACCUCGAUGUCGGCUCAUCGCAUCCUGGGGCUGGAGAAGGUCCCAAGGGUUGGGCUGUUCGCCCAUUAAAGCGGUACGCGAGCUGGGUUCGGAACGUCGUGAGACAGUUCGGUCCUUAUCCGCUGUGGGCGUAGGAUGCUUGAGAGAUUCAUUCCUUAGUACGAGAGGACCGGGAAUGACGUACCAAUGGUGCUCCAGUUGUCCCGCUAGGGGCAUGGCUGGGUAGCUAUGUACGGAACGGAUAAGCGCUGAAAGCAUAUAAGCGCCAAGCCUUCCUCAAGAUUAGGCAUCCCUUAGCGUUUAGCUAGUAAAGGCAGGUUGAAGACUACGACCUUGAUAGGCCAGGUGUGUAAGCGCGGUGACGCGUUCAGCUAACUGGUACUAAUCCGCCGUCAGGCUUGAUUAG